UACAGAGGGUGCGAGCGUUAAUCGGAAUUACUGGGCGUAAAGCGUGCGUAGACGGUUAUUUAAGUCGGGUGUGAAAGCCCCGGGCUCAACCUGGGAAUUGCAUUCGAGACUGAAUAGCUAGGGUACGGUAGAGGGAAGUGGAAUUUCCGGUGUAGCGGUGAAAUGCGUAGAGAUGUGGAGGAACACCAGUGGCGAAGGCGACUCUUUGGCCUGUAACUGACGCUGAGGCGCGAAAGCGUGGGGAGCGAACAGG
rnacentral:rRNA from 1 species